rnacentral:rRNA from 1 species
ACAGAAUAAGCACCGGCUAACUUCGUGCCAGCAGCCGCGGUAAUACGAAGGGUGCAAGCGUUAAUCGGAAUUACUGGGCGUAAAGCGCGCGUAGGUGGUUCAGUAAGUUGGAUGUGAAAUCCCCGGGCUCAACCUGGGAACUGCAUCCAAAACUACUGAGCUAGAGUACGGUAGAGGGUGGUGGAAUUUCCUGUGUAGCGGUGAAAUGCGUAGAUAUAGGAAGGAACACCAGUGGCGAAGGCGACCACCUGGACUGAUACUGACACUGAGGUGCGAAAGCGUGGGGAGCAAACAGGAUUAGAUACCCUGUUA